rnacentral:rRNA from 1 species
GGCCCAGAUUCCUACGGGAGGCAGCAGUGGGGAAUAUUGCACAAUGGGCGAAAGCCUGAUGCAGCGACGCCGCGUGAGGGAUGACGGCCUUCGGGUUGUAAACCUCUUUCAGCAGGGAAGAAGCGAAAGUGACGGUACCUGCAGAAGAAGCGCCGGCUAACUACGUGCCAGCAGCCGCGGUAAUACGUAGGGCGCAAGCGUUGUCCGGAAUUAUUGGGCGUAAAGAGCUUGUAGGUGGCUUGUCGCGUCUGCCGUGAAAACCCGAGGCUCAACCUCGGGCGUGCGGUGGGUACGGGCAGGCUAGAGUGUGGUAGGGGAGACUGGAACUCCUGGUGUAGCGGUGAAAUGCGCAGAUAUCAGGAAGAACACCGAUGGCGAAGGCAGGUCUCUGGGCCAUUACUGACACUGAGAAGCGAAAGCAUGGGGAGCGAACAGGAUUAGAUACCCUGGUAGUCCAUGCCGUAAACGUUGGGCACUAGGUGUGGGGGACAUUCCACGUUCUCCGCGCCGUAGCUAACGCAUUAAGUGCCCCGCCUGGGGAGUACGGCCGCAAGGCUAAAACUCAAAGGAAUUGACGGGGGCCCGCACAAGCGGCGGAGCAUGCGGAUUAAUUCGAUGCAACGCGAAGAACCUUACCAAGGCUUGACAUGCACCGGACAGCCCCAGAGAUGGGGUCUUCUUCGGACUGGUGCACAGGUGGUGCAUGGUUGUCGUCAGCUCGUGUCGUGAGAUGUUGGGUUAAGUCCCGCAACGAGCGCAACCCUCGUUCCAUGUUGCCAGCGCGUUAUGGCGGGAACUCAUGGGAGACUGCCGGGGUCAACUCGGAGGAAGGUGGGGACGACGUCAAAUCAUCAUGCCCCUUAUGUCUUGGGCUUCACGCAUGCUACAAUGGCCGGUACAAAGGGUUGCGAUACUGUGAGGUGGAGCGAAUCCCAAAAAGCCGGUCUCAGUUCGGAUUGGGGUCUGCAACUCGACCCCAUGAAGUCGGAGUCGCUAGUAAUCGCAGAUCAGCAACGCUGCGGUGAAUACGUUCCCGGGCCUUGUACACACCGCCCGUCAAGUCACGAAAGUCGGUAACACCCGAAGCCAGUGGCCCAUCCC